ACGGCUCAGUAACACGUGGAUAACAUGCCCUAAGGAGGGGGAUAAUCUCGGGAAACUGAGGGUAAUACCCCAUAGGUCUAUUUUGCUGGAAUGCUAAUAGGCCGAAAACUCCGGUGCCUUAGGAUUGGUCUGCGGUCUAUCAGGCUGUAGUGGGUGUAAUGGACCCACUAGCCCGUGACGGAUAUGGGCCUUGAGAGAGGGAGCCCAGAGAUGGACUCUGAGACAUGAGUCCAGGCCCUACGGGGCGCAGCAGUCGCGAAAACUUCGCAAUGGGGGCAACCCCGACGAGGGAAUUCCAAGUGCUAGCACUUUGUGUUAGCUGUUCUUCUGUCUAAAAAACAGGAGGAGUAAGGGGCGGGUAAGACGGGUGCCAGCCGCCGCGGUAAUACCCGCGCCCCAAGUGGUGGUCGAUAUUAUUGAGCCUAAAACGUCCGUAGCCGGUCUUCUAAAUCCUUGGGUAAAUCGGGCAGCUUAACUGUCCGAAGUCCGGGGAGACUGGGAGACUUGGGACCGGGAGAGGUCAGAGGUACUUCUGGGGUAGGGGUAAAAUCCUGUAAUCCUGGAAGGACCACCGGUGGCGAAGGCGUCUGACUAGAACGGAUCCGACGGUGAGGGACGAAGCCCUGGGGCGCAAACGGGAUUAGAUACCCCGGUAGUCCAGGGUGUAAACGCUGCGGGCUUGGUGUUGGGGGUCCUUAGUGGGCGCCCAGUGCCGGAGAGAAGUUGUUAAGCCUGCUGCUUGGGGAGUAUGUCCGCAAGGAUGAAACUUAAAGGAAUUGGCGGGGGAGCAC
rnacentral:rRNA from 1 species